UACGGAGGGUGCAAGCGUUAUCCGGAUUUACUGGGUUUAAAGGGUGUGUAGGCGGGCUAUUAAGUCAGUGGUGAAAUCUCCGGGCUCAACCCGGAAACUGCCAUUGAUACUAUUAGUCUUGAAUUUUGUUGAGGUAGGCGGAAUAAGUCAUGUAGCGGUGAAAUGCAUAGAUAUGUCACAGAACACCAAUUGCGAAGGCAGCUUACUAUGGUUUAUUGACACUGAGGCACGAAAGCGUGGGGAUCAAACAGG
rnacentral:rRNA from 1 species